CACCGCGGUUAUACGAGCGACCCAAGCUGAUAGCCCCGGCGUAAAGGGUGAUUAGGGUAAAAUUAAACUAAAGCCGAACGCUCUCAAAGCUGUUAUACGCAUUCGAGGGUACGAAGCCCCACCACGAAAGUAGCUUUAAACCCCACCUGACCCCACGAAAGCUAAGCAA
rnacentral:rRNA from 1 species